UAAAUGAGAAAGGCCCUUAGGGACAACAGGGAUGCGUUCCCUGAAACUGUCGCGGACCUGCUCGCCUCAAACACACGCCGCCGCCGCUGAAGUUGAAUUGUUUUGAACUUUUUGUACGCGACGCGCAGCACAGCAUUGGAAGAGAGACUGAUCCCCACUGUUUGUGAGUGACACUGAGUUUUUCCCUAGAAUACAUUGCGCUCAAGACGGACUGUGUCCUCAGAAGCCUGUGUGUUUACCUCAGUGAGGACAGCAACAUUCUCAUCAAGGAGUACUUGGAUGUCAACAGUGAGGAAGGUAAGAGAGAGACCAUACAGACCAUACAGAUUUGCAGAAGUAGAGGACAAGCCAGCGGAUGUUGGAGUGGUGGUCGAGGGUGUGGAACUGCUAAGUGAACUAGGAAGUAUUUCCUUUGGUUGUGACAUGCUGUUUGGCCUGAUCUACACUCUCAACCUGAACUAUCCACAAAUGUAAAUUUGAGUUCUUCCAGAAGGUUUUAAUGCACUUGGAUGGCUACAAACUGUCCCCAAAGGUGGAAACAUUAAAAUUAAGAUUCUUCAGUGAGCUCUUAAGUGCAAUGCUGGAAAGUUUGGCUAGCCACAUUUUGGCUUAAUGGACUUUACCAUUGUUCACGUGGUUUAAAAACACAAACACCAGAACAGCUUAUUGUUCUGAUUAUUUCUGGCAUCUUCUAUUGCCACUUUGUGUUAACUUGCUUAUUUUGCAUUUGGACCACUCUUGGACCCUGCCAUUUUUGCACUGAGAUUGCAUACUGUUACACUAGAUAGAAAGAACCUUUUUUCCUGCAGGUAUUAAGGCCUUUUGCCCUUUUCAUGUCUGACUUGUUCCCAUUCUGCAAAAAAUAUUCCUAGGACUGCGCACUUGACUAUGAAAUGUUUUACAUUGUGCUGCAUUCCUGUUUUAAAUGAUGCUGUAAUCCAGGUCCCGUCUUAAAACUGUAAGAUGUUCUUGGAGGGGAAUGUAUUUGUGUGUAUUGAGAUUGUAAAUGGAGAACAGCAUUAUAAUUUUUUUUCUAUGUGCCAGGAGGACCAUAUCCAAAUAUGGAAUCAUGUAACUUAAUGUUGUAUUGUUCAGACUUGUAUUUGACACUUCUAUGUUAUCAUCACUAUCAGUAUUUGAUAAAAGAGUCUUUUGAAUGGCAAUCUAUGUUUUUUUAAGAUUAUUUUAAAAUGUAUUUUAAGUUACCAUAGUAGAAAUACUUAUUCCAGUGGAAAUAAUUUAUUUUCUUUAUUUUUUAGCCUUUAUAGUUUAUUAUACACUGAAAAACCUUGUGCCCUUUGCCUUGGCCGUUGUUUUUUUGCAAUAGCAGGUCUUGCUGCUGUAAUGUUAAAAUUACUAUUGGACUACCAUUGUUGUAAUGACUUAUAAUAGAUAUGCCAAUAAAAUUUCCAGAACAGUU